rnacentral:misc_RNA from 1 species
GAUGAAGAACGUAGCGAAACGCGAUACGUAAUGUGAAUUGCAGAAUUCAGUGAAUCAUCGAAUCUUUGAACGCACAUUGCGCCCCUUGGUAUUCCAUGGGGCAUGCCUGUUCGAGCGUCAUUUGUACCUUCAAGCUCUGCUUGGUGUUGGGUGUUUGUCUCGCCUCUGCGUGUAGACUCGCCUCAAAACAAUUGGCAGCCGGCGUAUUGAUUUCGGAGCGCAGUACAUCUCGCGCUUUGCACUCAUAACGACGACGUCCAAAAGUACAUUUUUACACUCUUGACCUCGGAUCAGGUAGGGAUACCCGCUGAACUUAAGCAUAUCAAUAAGCGGAGGA